GUUUUGGAAAAAUAUGCAGUUUCAGCUGGAGCACUUGGCUCAAUCGAUAUUAUCUUUCUCUUGUCCUUGAUUAGGAUCCCAACACUUUCUUCUUUUGGGAGAGGGCUUCUGUAGAGAUUUCAUCAUCCUAGAGACUGGAAUUGGCUAUAUUCAUUACUCAAUUUAACACCUGUUAUUAGCACAACUCUGGCUUGCUAUAGCAUCUAUUUAUUUUGGUUUGCAGGGCUUAUGACGGAUGAGUUGA
rnacentral:misc_RNA from 1 species